GCCAGCUUAAACAGAAAAUCGGUGAGCACAGACGAGCCAUAAAAGGGGGAAAACAUCACCAGGUAAUAGAGACUAGUAUUCACAAACAUAAUACCAAAAGGAGUAAUAACAUUGAUAGCGUAGAUAAGACUGCUUAUACUAGAGAGAGCAGAGUGUAUCAUCAAGCUUCUUUAGCCACCAGCGGGAGGCUGCAACACUUAGUUUCAAGACUCUUCAAAUACAUGAUAGGAGUUGAAGCUUCUUCAUCUGAGAUGAUCAACCCACAUCUAUUGAUCAUUGUGGCAAUUUCUCCAGCAGUGAGCGAGUUGAUGAACAAAAUAUUCUCCUCAUGCAGCUAUACUUCUUGGUAAUUCCCAAUGACUUAAGCUUCUUUGACUGUAUGCCAGCCUUCUUAUAGCUGUAGUUGCCGAGUUUUGAGGAGUUCGGCAUAGGCCAAUACUGUUGAGUAUGGUGGUGAAAGCCUGGGAAGUAGGAAUGGGCUGGAGAGAGGAUGGGGUAACGUGUUUAUGUGGCUUAACGGUCGAGUACUUAGUAGGACAGUUGAAAGGCUUUGUGGCAAAAUUCAAAAGUUCAAAAGGCCCACCCGUUGUGGCCUUUGAAACGACACGAAACGGAUUGUUUGAGGUGAUAUGUUUGUUUUGAAAUUUGAAUCGGUAAGAGUCACCAAAUUCAGGAAGUUAGCUGCGAACUUAAGUAGCUCAGGUGCAAUGAAGAGAGUAGGGUUAGGGAUGUAAGAGUAGAUUUCCGGUGCGAGAGUCUCCUGAUACUCCGGGAACGAGUCGAUGGGGGAGAGAGGUGGUAAGAGAAAAUAGCGCCGUCGAGAAGAAGAGUGAUGAUUGUACCCUUCCGGAGAACUGGCACCGGAGGCACUGCCCUGGCCAUGAGAAGGAUUAUGGGGCUGACUAUGGUGCACCGAACCAAACCAGAACUCGUAGUCCGAAUCUCCUAGAUCCCCUUGUUCUUCACUUCGCGAAGAAGAGUG
rnacentral:lncRNA from 1 species